AUGAGACCCCCCCUCUGCUCUUGGUGCCAGUGCAUAAUGCUCAGAACAGGAGACAGCCCCUGUCCCACGCGGCUCGAGGUGCCUUCCCCAGCCCGGCCCGAGGUGCCGGAGUCCACCCGCAGGAGUUUCCCUGCCUCCAGGACCCCUGCCCAGGCAGGUAAGGCCAGCCGAGGAGCAGGAGCGCAGCAGCUCUGCGCCCCCCGGGAGCCAGCACACGUGGGGUGGGAGUGGUUUGCCCACGAACGAGUCCGUGGCAGAGCUGAGGAUGCUGCCGGCUCCUUAACCCCGCCACCCAGAUUUAAUUCCCCGCUUAAAAUCGGAGACGAUCCCCGCUCCGAGGAGCUCCCCCCGGCUGUCCCGCAGAUUCCCGUGCACAGCGGGCACGGGGAGCGCUCCCCUGAGCUGUGCGAGGGGUGCGAUGUGGUGACCCCUGCACGGGAUUUCGGCUUCCCUGGAGCCAUCCCGCUGGAGGGGGGGCCGUGUGUGUGUGUGUGUGUGUGUGUGUGUGUGUGUGCGAGCCUUGCACACUUCUCGGGGACACGCACAGCACCGAGUGGGAAGAGCACCACAAGUUCAUUAAGGGGUGCCACCGGUGGGCAGCACCCUGCUUCCAGCACCCCACCGGGGGUCACAGUGGGGCAGCACCCGUCCGUCCGUCCACCCAUCCGUCUGUCCGUCCAUCUGUCCGCCCUCCACCCUGCCGCUGCCACCCCCCAGUGCCAGGCACGACCCCAGCGGGCUGCCCCCUUUCCCCGGCGAGCCCCUGGCCCCGCGGAGAAGCGGCUCCGUAGAGCGGGAGGUGCGGGCGAGCCCCUCCUGCCCCGGCCCCGCCGCCAGCUCGGGCGCGCCCCCGCGGGGCGGGCUCUGCGCGCCUUUUGCGCGGCUUUUGCGCGGGGGGAGCCUCCGGGUGCGCCAUGCGGAGCGCUCGGCACCGGGACCCUCGCCGGCUGCGGCCCGGGGAGCGGGGAGCUGGGCAGCGGCACCCGGGGCUGCGGCCGCCCCCAUGCCGCGGGGCCGCCCCCCGCCGCCCGGCACCAGGCAAGUUUGCGGGGAACUUUUCCGCCGGGGUUGCGGGCACCGGGAGGCACAGCCCGGCACGGUGGGCUCCCCCCCGGCUCCGGGGCUCCCCCCCGGGGGUCGUGA
rnacentral:lncRNA from 1 species